rnacentral:lncRNA from 1 species
GGCAACAGGAAGAGGGGCGCUGUCUGAGACACAGGCCCUCAACCAUUGAGUGGGGAGCAAGAGAGAGAGCAAGGGACUACAACUUUAUUGGGAUCCCGGGCAUUAUCCAAGCAGGAUAUUGCCACGGUUUCUACGGGACUGAACAAAGGGGGACCCACACAGGAAUGAAAACUUAAAACAAAACAGCCACUAAGGAAGGCGCAGAGGGACUUCCUUUCGGCCCGAAACAGUAUCUGUGCUGCCAAAGUUGUUUUCCUUGUGACUCAAAUGAGGAAGAAUAAACUUGGUUUAGGACUAUUCAAUGCCAGUGUUUUCAGAUGGCUCCACCAGCAGAGAACAGAGAAGGGGAGAAGAGGAAAAGCAGCUGGACGUCGGGGACUGCGGUUUGACGUCGGAGAGAAGCAGCUUGACUUCAGAGGGACAGCUUGACCGCUUUGCUUUGGAGAGGAGUCUGGCUGGGGAUGGCUGGACUCCAGGGGAAGAUCGUCUUCCUGUUCCAUCCCUUUUCCAGCUCCCCUCCCACUGAGAGCCACUUUCAUUGGCAAUAAAAUCCUCCAUAUUCACCACCCUUCAAUUCGUUCAUGCGACCUGAUUUUUCCUGGAUGCCAAACAAGAGCCCAGGUGCCACAGGUGUGGAUACUAAAGGCUGUCACACUGACCCUUUGCCCUUGCUGGCAGAGAGCAACCACUUCAUGCAAAAAGGCAGAGGGCCCACUGAGGUAUUUAACACUUAAGCUGUCCGUGGACAGCCAAGCUAAAAGAACACUGUAACACACUCCCUCUGGGGCUUCUGGGGUCCCUGGUAUUCCUGACGAGACACUGUCAUGGGGCCUGCAGGGAGUUUUGCUCCUGCCAACACCCAAAAGCACUCUUUCUGGCUCCUGCACCCGCUCACCUGCGUGCUUCCCCUUCCCUCAAGGGCUUGAGAGCUGCAGGCUGAGUAAGUAGGCACCCUUGUCACGAGGUCCAAAAAGGGAUCAAGGAAAAUUUCCUGUUUCAGUGCUUUGGCAAAAACUUGAGUCAAUGAUACAGAAAAGUUAUGAGAGUUGAAAUCCUUGUCUAGUUCCCACUCAUAAUUCACUGAUUUUUAUUUCUGUAGUUUAUAAUCUGAGGUUAAUUCUAUCCAAUAAUAUUUUCAUUGUAGUAAUUGGGUAAUUUUUAUAUUUAGAUAUUGCUUUUGGUUUCUUUUUUGUAACGUCCAGUUCUCCAUUUUUUUGGUACAUAUAAAUAAAUAUAAUAACUCUUUUAAUGUUAUUAUUUGAUAAUUUAAUCAUCUCUGUCAAUUCUAUGUUUCUAUUGACUAUUUCCCCCCCAAUCGUAAGUCUAAUUUUCUUGUUUGUAUGUGCAGUAGUUAAAAAAUUCAAAUUAAAAAUAUUGCAAAUUUCUGGCCAGGUGUGGUGGCUCAUGCUUGUAACCCCAGCAUUUUGGGAGGUGGAGGCAGGCAAAUCACUUGAGGUCUGGAGUUCUCCAGCCUGGCCAACAAGGUGAAACCUGUCUCUACUAAAAAUACAAUUAG